CCUGCCCGCAACAGAGGGAUAACCCGGCGAAAGUCGGACUAAUACCUCAUAAAACAGGGGUUCCGCAUGGGGCUAUUUGUUAAAGAUUUAUUGGUUGCGGAUGGGCAUGCGUACCAUUAGGUAGUUGGUGAGGUAACGGCUCACCAAGCCAUCGAUGGUUAGGGGUUCUGAGAGGAAGGUCCCCCACACUGGUACUGAGACACGGACCAGACUCCUACGGGAGGCAGCAGUGAGGAAUAUUGGUCAAUGGGCGAGAGCCUGAACCAGCCAAGUCGCGUGAAGGAUGACUGCCCUAUGGGUUGUAAACUUCUUUUACAGGGGAAUAAAAUGAGAUACGUGUAUUUUAUUGCAUGUACCUUGUGAAUAAGCAUCGGCUAACUCCGUGCCAGCAGCCGCGGUAAUACGGAGGAUGCGAGCGUUAUCCGGAUUUAUUGGGUUUAAAGGGUGCGUAGGUGGGCUGUUAAGUCCGCGGUGAAAGUUUGUCGCUUAACGAUAAAAUUGCCGUUGAAACUGGUAGUCUUGAGUAUAGAUGAAGUAGGCGGAAUGCGUGGUGUAGCGGUGAAAUGCAUAGAGAUCACGCAGAACUCCGAUUGCGAAGGCAGCUUACUAAGGUAUAACUGA
rnacentral:rRNA from 1 species